CGGUGGGUGGCUUAGUGGUUAGAGCCUACGGCUUGUGAUUAUAAGGUCCCGGGUUCGAAUCUUAUUUCUGGUUUAUUCA
rnacentral:tRNA from 1 species